UUAUUUGGCACCCCAAGGGAUUUUAGUCAUGCUUGUGUUGCUCCCCAACUCUUUUUACGCUUGAAUGUAACUCAUGGGUAAAAAAAAAAAAGGUUGGGGAUCUCUGCACUAGAAUAUGGCAAGCAGCCACCAAAUUGCUUUAUAAUAGACAAUUGUAUAACGAGUUUACAACCCCCCAUGAUCACAAGCAGAGCGAUCCCCAACCCCAUACCAAUACUCCCCCUAUUAGAAGUCAAUGAGAACAGCACAUGGGGGGAUCAUGUACAAGUACACGUCUCCAAUGUUUGGGCUAACGAGUAGAAUACAUUCACAGUAAUUGAAAGUAUGAGAAAACGCAAGGGAUUACCCCAUCACCGUGACUCAUUAGCUGCCACUGUAGGAAUCCGCAUGGGGCAAACUCUGAGCAAAAGGAUCCGCAUGAACAGCCGCCACCAUAUUAACUCCUAGAAUAUGUAACUACAUGAGUUGACCGACAGCCAACAUGCUAAGCGCCCGCCCCAGAGUGGCUGCUCCCAGUAAAAUGAUAUGGGUUAACCAGGAGCCAGCACACGGAUCCCUGAAAUAUGAAUGCAUCCUACAUCAAAAUUGACCGAGGAUGCUUCACACCAAAUCUUGUCCAAAGGAGCAUAGCAUGUUAUGAGCUUGAACAGCUGCAGUUACAUGGUCCUCUUUCUGUCCUCUCCUGUAAUAGAACAAAUCUGAAGCUAUAAACCACAAGACGACCUACUUGACAUGAAGGAACUAGACACAGUCAUAUCACCAGGAAUUACACUUGCCAGCAUAGAAAGCUAUUUGGAAUUCAAUCCAUUACAUGGAGCCGGCUGAUACCUGCUGAUAGUGCUAGGGUGAUUUCCCUUGAAGUAGCUGAGAUGUACCCCAGUAUAAUGUGUGAGUUCUAUUAUACUAUCAAAUUAUAUUGAACUGUUACUCAAUGUUUAUAAGAAACACUGGAGCCCUGAUUGUUUGAGAAAAUUGUUAAACUGUUUUCUAUUUGAUAUUACAAUCACUACAAUUUUUGCUUUAUGGAAACGUAUAUUAUUGUAUCAUGUGAUUUCGUUUUAUUC